rnacentral:rRNA from 1 species
CUCCUACGGGAGGCAGCAGUAAGGAAUAUUGGUCAAUGGAGGCAACUCUGAACCAGCCAUGCCGCGUGCAGGAUGACUGCCCUAUGGGUUGUAAACUGCUUUUGUCAGGGAAUAAACCUUUCUACGUGUAGAAAGUUGAAUGUACCUGAAGAAUAAGGAUCGGCUAACUCCGUGCCAGCAGCCGCGGUAAUA